rnacentral:misc_RNA from 1 species
AAGUCGUAACAAGGUUUCCGUAGGUGAACCUGCGGAAAGAUCAUUAACACGUAUCCAAACGUUAAAACCCCCCCCGUGAACCUUCAUCCUGCUCUUGAAACCCGCGUAGUUCGCAAUCUCUGAUAAAUCAUAGCCCGGAAAGUCGUAGUGAUUCAGAGACCUCUGGCUACGUGCGAACAUUGGAACAGUUACCCCAUGCCCCCUAAUAACCCCACAGUUUAAUGUGAAGCUCAAUGUAAUACAUUGGGUAAAAAAACCGAACAACUGUUAAUAACAAUGGAUAUCUUGGUUCUC